GUCAUGAAGACAGGCAGAUACUAAUAAAAGAACACGCAUCUGUUUUUAUUCCAUUUGAAAGGGUUUGGAUAAAGGUAAUGGAAAUGAUGGUUGUGCUACUGUUAUUUGAAUCCAUGUCCUUUCUAGUCUCUACAUGAAGGAAUUACAUAGUCACUAACAGAGUUCUCAGACCAACAGUGUUUAUCUUUUUCCACAUCAAGCCCUGGGUACCAACGUUUCUUUCCAUGGACAUUGACGGGCGUGUCAUCAGAGCGGACUCUUUCUCCAAAGUUCUGUCCUCUGGGUUGAGAAUAGGGUUUAUAACAGGACCAAAACCCUUGAUAGAGAGAGUUGUUUUGCACACACAAGUCUCAACAUUGCACCCCAGUACUUUUACACAGAGAGGAAGUGCAGUGUGGUAAUUAAUGGCAUGGAUCUGCAGCUGGGCCCUCUGACUCGAAUCCAGGCUCUGUGAUGAGCUGUGUGACCUCAGGAAAGUUAACAACCCUUGUGCCUCAUUUUCUCAUCAGUAAAAUAGAAAUAAUAGCCUGCCUAAUAAGGUCAUUACAAGGUUAAAUUAGCUAAACUAUUUUAAUGCAUUACAAUAGUUUCUGGCACAGCAAGUACUCUAUAAAUAUUUGUCACUUUAUUAGCAUUGUCUUUGUUAUUAACAUUUAUUCUAAAUCACUGACCGACUAAAGCUUGGUUGGGUCAGCUUGUUCUGUUUUCUUAUGAUGGUUUACGUAGACUCAAGAGUGACUGGCAGAAAACACAUGGUAGAGGAUGAAGCAUGACACCUGUUAUUGUCUCACCUCUUUCAGCUCGUGGUAUCACAGCUUCUUCACCAGUGGGGACAGGAGGGCUUCCUGGCUCACAUAGAGAGGGUUAUUGAUUACUAUAGGAAGCAGAAGGAUGCAUUACUGAAAGCUGCAGACAAGUGGUUAAGUGGUUUGGCAGAGUGGCAUGCUCCUACUGCUGGGAUGUUUGUAUGGAUUAAAAUUAAGGGCAUUUCUGAUGCAAAAAAACUGAUUGAAGAAAAAGCCAUUAAGAAAGAGGUAAAAAGGCAGAAAUAGUUAUACUGUUACUUUAAUGUAAUUUCUUACUUAAAUAAAAAUGGAGAGAGAUGUUUAUCAUUGCCUACCACCCCAACUCAUCAUGUUUUAAUAUCAGAUAUGUUAUCUCAUUAUUAAAAUCAUAAUAGAUUGUUGGGUUACAUAAUUAUUAUUCUGGUCUAAAUUAAUGGAAAUAUAGUCAUUGAUCUCAGCUGCUGAUUGGUUUCAUGGCUAAGAGCACAGUCCCUGGAGCCACACUCCUUAGGUUUGAAUCCCAUUUUCACCCUUUACUGGAUGUGUGGCUUUGGGUAAGUUACCCUCCCUGCGUUUCAGUAAUAAUGAGACUUUCUCCCUCAUAAUGUUGUUAUGAUAAUUUAGUAAAUAUAUAUAAAGCACAUAGACUAGUAAAUACUCAAUAGGUAUUAGCCUUUAGUAUU